UCAGGCCUAACACAUGCAAGUCGAGCGGAAACGAUCCUAGCUUGCUAGGAGGCGUCGAGCGGCGGACGGGUGAGUAACGCGUGGGAAUCUACCGAGUAGUGGGGGACAACUUAGGGAAACUUAAGCUAAUACCGCAUACGCCCUACGGGGGAAAGAGGGGGAUCUUCGGACCUCUUGCUAUUCGAUGAGCCCGCGUCAGAUUAGCUAGUUGGUGGGGUAAAGGCCUACCAAGGCGACGAUCUGUAGCUGGUCUGAGAGGAUGAUCAGCCACACUGGGACUGAGACACGGCCCAGACUCCUACGGGAGGCAGCAGUGGGGAAUAUUGGACAAUGGGGGCAACCCUGAUCCAGCCAUGCCGCGUGUGUGAAGAAGGCCUUCGGGUUGUAAAGCACUUUCAGUUGUGAGGAAGGGGAGUAGGUUAAUAACCUGCUUCAUUGACGUUAACAACAGAAGAAGCACCGGCUAACUUCGUGCCAGCAGCCGCGGUAAUACGAGGGGUGCAAGCGUUAAUCGGAAUUACUGGGCGUAAAGCGCGCGUAGGCGGUUAUUUAAGCCAGAUGUGAAAUCCCCGGGCUCAACCUGGGAACUGCAUUUGGAACUGGGUAACUAGAAUGCAGCAGAGGAUAGUGGAAUUUCAGGUGUAGCGGUGAAAUGCGUAGAGAUCUGAAGGAACAUCAGUGGCGAAGGCGACUGUCUGGG
rnacentral:rRNA from 1 species